GGAAGGAUAAACAAAAAUAGAUCUGGGACUAGGGUUUUUGAUUUCAAAAGGGCUAACUUUAAAGAAUUAAGGAAAUUAGUUAGGGAAGUGGAUUGGACUGAAGAACUUGUGGAUCUAAAUGCGGAGGAGGCAUGGAAUUACUUUAAGUCGCAGGUGCAGAAAUAUCAGAAAAACCUCCAUCCCAAGAAAGGGGGGAAAAAACAUAGGCAGGAGUUGUAGACCAAGCUGGAUGAGCAAGCAUCUCAGAGAGGUGAUUAAGAAAAAGCAGAAACCCUACAAGGAGUGGAAUAAGGAUGGGAUUAGCAAGGAAAGCUACCUUAUUGAGGUCAGAACAUGUAGGGAUAAAGUGAGAAAGGCUAAAAGUCAAGUACAGUUGGACCUUGCAAAGGGAAUUAAAACCAAUAGUAAAAGGUUCUAUAGCCAUAUAAAUAAGAAGAAAACAAAGAAAGAAGAAGUGGGACCGCUAAACACUGAGGAUGGAAAGGAGGUUAAGGAUAACCUAGGCAUGGCCCAAUAUCUAAAUCAAUACUUUGCCUCAGUCUUUAAUAAGGCUAAUGAGGAGCUUAGGGGUAAUGGUAGGAUGACAAACGGGAAUGAGGAUAUAGAGGUGGAUAUUACCACAUCUGAAGUGGAAGCCAAACUUGAACAGCUUAAUGGGACAAAAUCGGAGGGCCCGGACAAUCUUCAUCUGAGAAUAUUAAAGGAACUGGCGCAUGAAAUUGCAAGCCCAUUAGCGAGAAUUUUUAAUGAAUCAGUAAACUCAGGGGUUGUACCGUACGACUGGAGAAUUGCUAACAUAGUUCCUAUCUUUAAGAAAGGGAGAAAGAGUGAUCCGAGUAACUAUAGGCCUGUUAGUUUGACAUCUGUAGUAUGUAAGGUCUUGGAAAAAAUUUUGAAGGAGAAAGUACUUAAGGACAUUGAGGUCAAUGGUAGUUGGGACAAAUUACAACAUGGUUUUACUAAAGGUAAAUCAUGCCAAACCAACCUGAUCUCCUUUUUUGAGAAGGGGACAGAUUAUUUUCGACAAAGGAAAUGCAGUAGACCUAAUUUACCUCUAUUUCAGUAAGGCAUUUGACACGGUUCCACAUGCAGAAUUAUUAGUCAAAUUGGAAAAGAUGGGGAUCAAUAUGAAAAUUGAAAGGUGGAUAAGGAACUGGUUAAAGGGGAGACUACAACGGGUCGUACUGAAGGGUGAACUGUCAGGCUGGAAGGAGGUUACUAGUGGAGUUCCUCAAGGAUCGGUUUUGGGACCGAUCUUAUUUAACCUUUUUAUUACUGACCUUGGCACAAAAAGCGGGAAUGUGCUAAUAAAAUUUGCGGAUGACACAAAGCUGGGGGAUAUUGCUAAC
rnacentral:lncRNA from 1 species